GGUUCCCGCUCGCGCCUCUCCGUCCACACCGCCCUGCAAGCUGAGGGAGUGGGUUCCGGCCUUGGCCAGCCCAGAAAGGGGCUCCCACAGUGCAGCGGUGGGCUGAAGGGCACCUCAAGUGCCGCGGAAGUGGGAGCCCAGGCAGAGGAGUCGCCGAGAGCGAGCGCGGGCUGUGAGGACUGCCGGCACGCUGUCACCUCUCAAUAACGCCCAUCCCAAUGUGUCCUGAGGAAUAAUUUUGGUCGUGUUCCUGGUACUCAGCCUUUCGUGGUUCCUGGUCAUUUUCAGAGUCUAACAUUCCAGCUUUUCCGGAAAUUCUAUACUUUGAUGUAAAAGUUUUCAAAGAAAUGCUUUGGGCAGAAGAGACUCAUGGAAACUGGACACUAUAUCUGGAGCCAGGAAUAAUAGGAUCUGAGAAACAGUAACAAGUGUAAAACAAACUGGUCUUGAACUCCUGGCCUCAAGUAAUCCUCCCCACUG
rnacentral:antisense_RNA from 1 species